UUUUAUUUGAGAGUUUGAUCCUGGCUCAGGAUGAACGCUGGCGGCGUGCCUAACACAUGCAAGUUGAGCGAUUUACUUCGGUAAAGAGCGGCGGACGGGUGAGUAACGCGUGGGUAACCUACCCUGUACACACGGAUAACAUACCGAAAGGUAUGCUAAUACGGGAUAAUAUAUUUGAGAGGCAUCUCUUGAAUAUCAAAGGUGAGCCAGUACAGGAUGGACCCGCGUCUGAUUAGCUAGUUGGUAAGGUAACGGCUUACCAAGGCGACGAUCAGUAGCCGACCUGAGAGGGUGAUCGGCCACAUUGGAACUGAGACACGGUCCAAACUCCUACGGGAGGCAGCAGUGGGGAAUAUUGCACAAUGGGCGAAAGCCUGAUGCAGCAACGCCGCGUGAGUGAUGAAGGCCUUCGGGUCGUAAAACUCUGUCCUCAAGGAAGAUAAUGACGGUACUUGAGGAGGAAGCCCCGG
rnacentral:rRNA from 1 species